UUCCAGGAGAGUGAAGAGUAUCAAGAUAAUUCAAUCCAAGAAGGCGAUGGUAUGUGCAUCAAAAUCCACGGCUUAGAAGUUUGUUUUCCCACCGAAGACCAGAGGCCAAAAAAAAGACCUGGUAACAGACUUGGACGAAAA